CCUACGGGAGGCAGCAGUGGGGAAUAUUGCACAAUGGGGGAAACCCUGAUGCAGCGACGCCGCGUGAGUGAAGAAGUAUUUCGGUAUGUAAAGCUCUAUCAGCAGGGAAGAAAAUGACGGUACCUGAUUAAGAAGCCCCGGCUAACUACGUGCCAGCAGCCGCGGUAAUACGUAGGGGGCAAGCGUUAUCCGGAUUUACUGGGUGUAAGGGGAGCGUAGACGGCAGCACAAGUCUGGAGUGAAAUGCCGGGGCUUAACCCCGGAACUGCUUUGGAAACUGUGCAGCUAGAGUGCAGGAGAGGUAAGUGGAAGUCCUAGUGUAGCGGUGAAAUGCGUAGAUAUUAGGAGGAACACCAGUGGCGAAGGCGGCUUACUGGACUGUAACUGACGUUGAGGCUCGAAAGCGUGGGGAGCAAACAGGAUUAGAUACCCCUGUAGUC
rnacentral:rRNA from 1 species